ensembl:lncRNA novel transcript
AGAUGGACCAUCCCCAUAGAAGUGGUUCCCAAACCUGGCUGCCCACUGGAAUCAUGAGGAGGAUGUGGAGAGCUUUUAGAAAAUGCCCAUGCUUGUUCUGCCCACAGAGAUGGUUCCUGGAGAGCCCACACCUCUCUCUUCUCCUGUCCUCAAGGAAAGGCCCAACCACCCUGAUGUGUGACCUUGGCCAAGACCUCCUCUCACUCCCAGCUUCAGUCUUCUUAUCCAGAAAACAGGAAAUCUGGACUCUUCAAUGUCACAGUCCCUUUCGGCUUUCAUAUUCAGGAGUUUUCAGGCUUUGUUAAAAGCAAAAUGCCCAGGCCCAUCCCCUGUAGAUUCAGGAUGUGGUGCAGGCUCAGGCCAGGUUUGGGACUUCUGCAGGUUUCAACAUCAUCCCUGAGGAGUUGUCUGAUGCCUAUUAAAGUGCACCCUCUAUGACAGUGUGUACCGAA